rnacentral:rRNA from 1 species
UACAGAGGGGGCAAGCGUUUGUUCGGAAUUACUGGGCGUAAAGGGCGCGUAGGCGGCCUGUUAAGUCGAACGUGAAAUCCCCGGGCUCAACCCGGGAACUGCGUCCGAUACUGGCAGGCUUGAAUCCGGGAGAGGGAUGCAGAAUUCCAGGUGUAGCGGUGAAAUGCGUAGAUAUCUGGAGGAAUACCGGUGGCGAAGGCGGCAUCCUGGACCGGUAUUGACGCUGAGGCGCGAAAGCCAGGGGAGCAAACGGG